GUGCAGGAUGACUGCCCUAUGGGUUGUAAACUGCUUUUAUACGGGAAGAAACCUCCCCUUGCGAGGGGAGCUGACGGUACCGUAAGAAUAAGGACCGGCUAACUCCGUGCCAGCAGCCGCGGUAAUACGGAGGGUCCGAGCGUUAUCCGGAAUCAUUGGGUUUAAAGGGUCCGUAGGCGGGCCUGUAAGUCAGGGGUGAAAGUCUGUGGCUCAACCAUAGAAUUGCCUUUGAUACUGCAGGUCUUGAGUCAUGGUGGGGUUGCCGGAACAUGUGGUGUAGCGGUGAAAUGCAUAGAUAUCACAUAGAACACCGAUCGCGAAGGCAGGUGACCAACCAUGUACUGACGCUGAUGGACGAAAGCGUGGGUAGCGAACGGGAUUAGAUACCCCGGUAGUCCACGCCGUAAACGAUGGAUACUAGCUGUGGGGACUUCGGUCUCCGUGGCCAAGCGAAAGUGAUAAGUAUCCCACCUGGGGAGUACGUUCGCAAGAAUGAAACUCAAAGGAAUUGACGGGGGCCCGCACAAGCGGUGGAGCAUGUGGUUUAAUUCGAUGAUACGCGAGGAACCUUACCAGGGCUUAAAUGCAGGCUGCAUGGGGUGGAGACACCCCUUUCUUCGGACCGCCUGCAAGGUGCUGCAUGGUUGUCGUCAGCUCGUGCCGUGAGGUGUCAGGUUAAGUCCUAUAACGAGCGCAACCC
rnacentral:rRNA from 1 species